AAAGUUUAAUCCUGGCUCAGGAUGAACGCUAGCUACAGGCUUAACACAUGCAAGUCGAGGGGCAGCAUGAACUUAGCUUGCUAAGUUUGAUGGCGACCGGCGCACGGGUGAGUAACACGUAUCCAACCUUCCGUUUACUCAGGGAUAGCCUUUCGAAAGAAAGAUUAAUACCUGAUAGUAUGGUGAGAUUGCAUGAUAACACCAUUAAAGAUUUAUUGGUAAACGAUGGGGAUGCGUUCCAUUAGGUAGUAGG
rnacentral:rRNA from 1 species